CUUUGGGCUUGUCUACAUCAGAAAGUUGCAGCGCUGGUGAGGGAGUUACAGCGCUGCAACUUUGAAGGUGUACACAUCUGCAGGGCACCACCAGCGCUGCAACUCCCUGUUUGCAGCGCUGGCCGUACUCCCGUUUUGUCUCGGGUGUAGAGGAUCCAGCGCUCGUGAUCCAGCGCUGGUAAUCCAAUGUAGACACUUACCAGCGCUUUUCUUGACCUCCGUGGAAGGAGGAAGCCUCUGGUAAUCAAGCUGGUCUCCUUUCCCGGUUUGCUCUCUCGUUCCCGGAGCCCCGAGCAAGCAGGUCUCCUUCCCUGCGGUUUGCUGGGUGGCUCCGGGAACGAGAGAGCAAACCGCGGCGAAGCGGGUCUCCUUUCCCGGUUUGCUCUCUCGUUCCCGGAGCCCCGAGCAAGCAGGUCUCCUUCCCUGCGGUUUGCUGGGUGGCUCCGGGAACGCGAGAGCAAACCGCGGCGAAGCGGGUCUCCUUUCCCGGUUUGCUCUCUCGUUCCCGGAGCCCCGAGCAAGCAGGUCUCCUUCCCUGCGGUUUGCUGGGUGGCUCCGGGAACGCGAGAGCAAACCGCGGCGAAGCGGGUCUCCUUUCCCGGUUUGCUCUCUCGUUCCCGGAGCCCCGAGCAAGCAGGUCUCCUUCCCUGCGGUUUGCUGGGUGGCUCCGGGAACGCGAGAGCAAACCGCGGCGAAGCGGGUCUCCUUUCCCGGUUUGCUCUCUCGUUCCCGGAGCCCCGAGCAAGCAGGUCUCCUUCCCUGCGGUUUGCUGGGUGGCUCCGGGAACGCGAGAGCAAACCGCGGCGAAGCGGGUCUCCUUUCCCGGUUUGCUCUCUCGUUCCCGGAGCCCCGAGCAAGCAGGUCUCCUUCCCUGCGGUUUGCUGGGUGGCUCCGGGAACGCGAGAGCAAACCGCGGCGAAGCGGGUCUCCUUUCCCGGUUUGCUCUCUCGUUCCCGGAGCCCCGAGCAAGCAGGUCUCCUUCCCUGCGGUUUGCUGGGUGGCUCCGGGAACGAGAGAGCAAACCGCGGCGA